rnacentral:rRNA from 1 species
UACGGAGGGGGCUAGCGUUGUUCGGAAUUACUGGGCGUAAAGCGCACGUAGGCGGCUUUGUAAGUUAGAGGUGAAAAGCCCGGGGCGUCAACUCCGGAAUUGCCUUUAAGACUGCAUCGCUAGAAUUGUGGAGAGGUGAAGUGGAAUUCCGAGUGUAGAGGUGAAAUUCGUAGAUAUUCGGAAGAACACCAGUGGCGAAGGCGACUUACUGGACACAUAUUGACGCUGAGGUGCGAAAGGCGUGGGGAGCAAACAGG